AAUAGAUACCCAGGUAGUCCACGCCGUAAACGAUGAGUGCUAAGUGUUAGAGGGUUUCCGCCCUUUAGUGCUGAAGUUAACGCAUUAAGCACUCCGCCUGGGGAGUACGGCCGCAAGGCUGAAACUCAAAGGAAUUGACGGGGGCCCGCACAAGCGGUGGAGCAUGUGGUUUAAUUCGAAGCAACGCGAAGAACCUUACCAGGUCUUGACAUCCUCUGACAACCCUAGAGAUAGGGCUUCUCCUUCGGGAGCAGAGUGACAGGUGGUGCAUGGUUGUCGUCAGCUCGUGUCGUGAGAUGUUGGGUUAAGUCCCGCAACGAGCGCAACCCUUGAUCUUAGUUGCCAUCAUUAAGUUGGGCACUCUAAGGUGACUGCCGGUGACAAACCGGAGGAAGGUGGGGAUGACGUCAAAUCAUCAUGCCCCUUAUGACCUGGGCUACACACGUGCUACAAUGGACGGUACAAAGAGCUGCAAGACCGCGAGGUGGAGCUAAUCUCAUAAAACCGUUCUCAGUUCGGA
rnacentral:rRNA from 1 species